UCUUGGUCAUUUAGAGGAAGUAAAAGUCGUAACAAGGUCUCCGUUGGUGAACCAGCGGAGGGAUCAUUACCGAGUUUACAACUCCCAAACCCUUAUGCGAACCGUACCUAUCGUUGCUUCGGCGGGAACGCCCCGGCGCCCUGCGCCCGGAUCCAGGCGCCCGCCGGAGACCCCAAACUCUUGUGUUUUUUUCAGUAUUCUCUGAGUGGCAAACGCAAAAAUAAAUCAAAACUUUUAACAACGGAUCUCUUGGCUCUGGCAUCGAUGAAGAACGCAGCGAAAUGCGAUAAGUAAUGUGAAUUGCAGAAUUCAGUGAAUCAUCGAAUCUUUGAACGCACAUUGCGCCCGUUAGCAUUCUAGCGGGCAUGCCUGUCCGAGCGUCAUUUCAACCCUCAGGGUCCCCGUUCCGGCGGGGAACCUGGUGUUGGGGAUCGGCCCGCCCCGUGCGGCGCCGUCCCCCGAAUUCAGUGGCGGUCUCGCUGCAGCCUCCCCUGCGUAGUAGUUACAACCUCGCAUCGGAGCUCAGCGCGGACACGCCGUAACACCCCCGACUUUCUGAACGUUGACCGCGGAUCAAGUAGGAAUACCCGCUGAACUUAAGCAUAUCAAUAAGCGGAGGA
rnacentral:rRNA from 1 species